rnacentral:tRNA from 1 species
GGAGGAGUCGCAUAGUCUGGCCUAGUGCGCGCGACUGGAAAUCGCGUUGGCGGCAAACCCGCCUCGAGGGUUCGAAUCCCUCCUCCUCCG